rnacentral:rRNA from 1 species
GGAAUAUUGCGCAAUGGACGAAAGUCUGACGCAGCGACGCCUCGUGAGGGACGAAGGUCUUCGGAUUGUAAACCUCUUUCAGCAGGGACGAAGCGAAAGUGACGGUACCUGCAGAAGAAGCACCGGCUAACCAUGUGCCAGCAGCCGCGGUAAUACAUAGGGUGCAAGCGUUGUCCGGAUUUAUUGGGCGUAAAGAGUUCGUAGGCGGUUUCUCGCGUCGGAUGUGAAAACUCAGGGCUCAACCCUGAGCCUGCAUUCGAUACGGGGAAACUUGAGGACGGCAGGGGAGACUGGAACUCCUGGUGUAGCGGUGGAAUGCGCAGAUAUCAGGAAGAACACCAAUGGCGAAGGCAGGUCUCUGGGCCGAUUCUGACGCUGAGGAACGAAAGCGUGGGGAGCAAACAGGAUUAGAUACCCUGGUAGUCCACGCCGUAAACGAUGGACGCUAGGUGUGGGGAACAUUCCACGUUCUCUGCGCCGCAGCUAACGCAUUAAGCGUCCCGCCUGGGGAGUACGACCGCAAGGUUAAAACUCAAAGGAAUUGACGG